UACGUAGGGUGCAAGCGUUAAUCGGAAUUACUGGGCGUAAAGCGUGCGCAGGCGGUUAUGUAAGACAGAUGUGAAAUGCCCGGGCUCAACCUGGGAACUGCAUUUGUGACUGCAUGGCUAGAGUGUGUCAGAGGGGGGGUAGAAUUCCACGUGUAGCAGUGAAAUGCGUAGAUAUGUGGAGGAAUACCGAUGGCGAAGGCAGCCCCCUGGGAUGGCACUGACGCUCAUACACGAAAGCGUGGGGAGCAAACAGG
rnacentral:rRNA from 1 species